UGCAGUAAAUUAUACAUCCAUCAAAAAAUAAUGCACAAUUCAAAGGCAGGUCAGACAGUACUGGGUAACACCCACAGUAUGGAGCAAGGUGCAGUUUCUGUAAGACAGAAGCAAGAGGAGAAACCAGACUGAACAACAGUGAAUUCAGGUCGCUGGCCAGUUUCAUGAUUUAAAAAUUUUCCAAACCAGGAUUGAGGGUUUAGUGGAGGAGUUUGUGAGGUGAGUCCAAGGUUUGGUCCCAACAAUAGGCAGGGAAGAGGGGGAUAUCAUAAAAAGACAAAGUCGCAAAUGCAAAAACAAAACCAAAAUCCUUGGGGAAAAAUCCUUUUAGCCUUCUUUUCAAUAGACACUUAAAAAAAUGUUUGUGAUAAUAAAGGCUGUUAUCUUCGGAGAUUUUUUUCUCUUUUCAUAAUUCAUACUUUUCCAUAAUGAAGAAGUAAGACUGUAAGAAUGAAUACACUAACAUUCAUGUCUAAGUGGCUUCAGAUGGUUACAUCUACCCAUGAAUACGGAAGCAUCUGCUGGUUGGGCAAUUCAGUGCAUUUUAAUCCAAGUUAGGAAGGCACACUGCAAGCAGUUCAUGGAGAUGAGCUGGAAAGUCAAAACCCCCACCAUGCUGCUUCCGUAAUGAGCAUUCACUAUGGAAACAGCCUUGGCUCAUUCAGAAAUGCCAUGUGCGGCCAGUACAGGCAGGGAGGGUCUCGGAGGCAAAUGAGCUCUUAAAGAGUUUAAUGAAGGAAGAAGAAGGAGACUGCCUCAAACUACAACUCAGCUCUAAAGAGCUGGGCAUGACGGGCAUGCAGGCGACCCCGCCAUUUGGGAAGCGGAGGCAGAAGAAUCAAGAUUCUCCUGGUACAUGCUACCAUAGACGUCUUCAAACAACAGAGACAAUGGUAGCUGUCACCUGCGCCUCUGGAAUGGAGCCUGCCCAUCUCUAAGGACAAAGCGAUCCUGUUCAACAGCUGAGCACGUGGACACUUCUGUACUUUGGCCUUCACAGCUCUAAUGUGAAUGCUGUUACUAUAACAACUAAGGUCUACCCCAUCUGAGCAGUGAUCCCAAUUCAGGGCUCACUGCAGCUGCUGUAGGUGGCACCACAUGCUUUGAGGGAGACCCCUCCCACCAAGGUCUCACUCCUGCCAGGCUCCUUCAUGUAUUCUCCUCCAGAGAAGGUCGGAAAUGAGUUUGACAGUCUAUCCAUCUUAGUGCUACCUGCACCUACAGGUGAAGCUUCUGCCCUGUGCUCUGUAACAACUAACACCGUUUUAAUUACAUC